UCCGUAGGUGAACCUGCGGAAGGAUCAUUCAUAAUAAGUGUUUUAUGGCACUUUUUAAAUCCAUAUCCACCUUGUGUGCAAUGUCAGUCGAUCUUCUUCAUGGAGAUCGACCAAACAUCAACCUUUAUUUUUUAACUCUUUGUCUGAAAAAUAUUAUGAAUAAACAAUUCAAAAUACAACUUUCAACAACGGAUCUCUUGGCUCUCGCAUCGAUGAAGAACGCAGCGAAAUGCGAUACGUAAUGUGAAUUGCAGAAUUCAGUGAAUCAUCGAAUCUUUGAACGCAUAUUGCGCUCUUUGGUAUUCCGAAGAGCAUGCUUGUUUGAGUAUCAGUAAACACCUCAAAGCUUUUGGAUUUUUUAAUCGAAAAGCUUUGGACUUGAGCAAUCCCAACACCAAUCUUUUUGAGAUCGGUGGCGGGUUGUUUGAAAUGCAGGUGCAGCUGGACAUUCUCCUGAGCUAAAAGCAUAUUCAUUUAGUCCCGUCAAACGGAUUAUUACUUUUGCUGCAGCUAACAUAAAGGGAGUUUGACCGUAUGGGCUGACUGAUGCAGGAUUUCACAAGGGUCGGCAACGAUUCUUGUUAAACUCGAUCUCAAAUCAAGUAAGACUACCCGCUGAACUUAAGCAUAUCAAUAAGCGGAGGAAAAGAAACUAACAAGGAUUCCCCUAGUAACGGCGAGUGAAGCGGGAUGAGCUCAAAUUUAAAAUCUGGCUGGUUUACUAGUCCGAAUUGUAGUUUAUAGAAGCGUUUUCGGUGGCAGCCUGGGUAUAAAUCCUUUGGAAUAGGGUAUCAUAGAGGGUGAGAAUCCCGUCUUUGACUCAGUGCAUGCUACUAUGUGAUACGUUUUCAAAGAGUCGAGUUGUUUGGGAAUGCAGCUCAAAAUGGGUGGUAAAUUUCAUCUAAAGCUAAAUAUUGGCGAGAGACCGAUAGCGAACAAGUACCGUGAGGGAAAGAUGAAAAGAACUUUGAAAAGAGAGUUAAACAGUGCGUGAAAUUGUUGAAAGGGAAACGCUUGAAGU
rnacentral:sRNA from 1 species